rnacentral:rRNA from 1 species
ACUCAAAGGAAUAGACGGGGGCCCGCACAAGCGGUGGAGCAUGUGGUUUAAUUCGACGCAACGCGCAGAACCUUACCAGCCCUUGACAUGGGCGCUACGGGCCGGAGAGAUCCGGUCUUCCUUUCGGGGGGCGUUCACAGGUGCUGCAUGGCUGUCGUCAGCUCGUGUCGUGAGAUGUUGGGUUAAGUCCCGCAACGAGCGCAACCCUUGCCUCUAGUUGCCAUCAGGUUGGGCUGGGCACUCUAGAGGGACUGCCGGUGACAAGCCGGAGGAAGGUGGGGAUGACGUCAAGUCCUCAUGGCCCUUAUGGGCUGGGCUACACACGUGCUACAAUGGCGGCGACAAUGGGCAGCGAAGGAGCAAUCUGGAGCUAAUCCCCAAAAGCCGUCUCAGUUCGGAUUGCAGGCUGCAACUCGCCUGCAUGAAGGUGGAAUCGCUAGUAAUCGUGGAUCAGCACGCCACGGUGAAUACGUUCCCGGGCCUUGUACACACCGCCCGU